GGGGAUGUUCUGGAUUCGUCACGGCACGGCGUCAAGUAUAAGCAUGUCUUGGUUGCUCAAGUAAAAAAGCCGAGGUUAUCUAAUAACCGGAAACCAACAACUUUCAUUCGCUGCCUAAGAAAAGGUGCGAGCCAAUUCAGCAUUUACUUGCGGUUCUGAUGCGGCCCAACUUCAGCAAGUUAUCCCUACCGAAGUGUCUGGAUCGGUAGACGAACCUUACAGGCUGGCGCGAUUUGCUUUUUGUUCCUUUAGCACAUAGCGUGAGAUCAUAAAUGAACUAAACAUGUAGAAAGUACUUGGCAAAAGGUCUUGCACAGGGGUUCAAUUCCCCUCAUCUCCACCA
rnacentral:tmRNA from 1 species